rnacentral:hammerhead_ribozyme from 1 species
AUCCAUUUGACGAGUCUCAAAAAGGACGAAACGCGUGUCCUAGAU